rnacentral:piRNA from 1 species
UCCUGUGCCCUGGACUUUGUGAACCCAGA